CUUCAUCCGGAGUCGUCGUCGCAAUCUAUCCACCUUCGUGAAGCUCCGGAGCCUUCUUAGCGUCUUUGUCUCUCCCUCCUGUAACCGCCUUUGUCUUCGCCUCCUGUAACCGCCUUCGUCUCCAUCUCGUCAACUGAAACCCCUACCUCCGUCUCGUUCUCGUCACCGCCUUCAUCGCCUCUGUCUUACCGUCUUCGUCUCCUCCAUCUCGUUGCUUUCGUCUCCUCUGUUUUUGGUUGCUGAAAUAAAAGCUCUAAAUGAAGAAGACGAAAUCGAAAUUACAUUUAUAUCCUUCACUAAAGAAAAUUAAAAAAAACAAAUGAAAACACGCUGAAUGGUUUUCGAACACGAGAUCAAGCGGUCAAUUAUAAGACGCAACAAAUGGACUGCUGUGAUUUAUUUGUUGUUAUAUAGCGUUAAAGAUAAAUAUUAUGACUAAAAGCCUCUUCUUUACCAUUUCACAACAUUUUGCAAUGCAAUAUAUAUAACUAAAUGAACUAAAUUAAGAUGGUAAAACCAUAACAAUGCAAUAUAUACACCUAAAUGAAACUUAAAAUAUUCUAAAUUAACAAAAAAAACUCUAAAUCAUUCAAAUCAUUGGAUAUCAUUACUAC
rnacentral:lncRNA from 1 species